rnacentral:rRNA from 1 species
CUACGGGUCGCUGCAGUGGGGAAUAUUGCACAAUGGGCGCAAGCCUGAUGCAGCCAUGCCGCGUGUAUGAAGAAGGCCUUCGGGUUGUAAAGUACUUUCAGCGGGGAGGAAGGGAGUAAAGUUAAUACCUUUGCUCAUUGACGUUACCCGCAGAAGAAGCACCGGCUAACUCCGUGCCAGCAGCCGCGGUAAUACGGAGGGUGCAAGCGUUAAUCGGAAUUACUGGGCGUAAAGCGCACGCAGGCGGUUUGUUAAGUCAGAUGUGAAAUCCCCGGGCUCAACCUGGGAACUGCAUCUGAUACUGGCGAGCUUGAGUCUCGUAGAGGGGGGUAGAAUUCCAGGUGUAGCGGUGAAGUGCGUAGAGAUCUGGAGGAAUACCGGUGGCGAAGGCGGCCCCCUGGACGAAGACUGACGCUCAGGUGCGAAAGCGUGGGGAGCAAACAGGAUUAGAUACCCUUGUAGUC